rnacentral:rRNA from 1 species
AACGAACGCUGGCGGCAGGCUUAACACAUGCAAGUCGAACGGUAACAGGCCGCAAGGUGCUGACGAGUGGCGAACGGGUGAGUAAUGAAUCGGAAAGUGUGCAGUCGUGGGGGAUAAAGCAGCGCAGGCUGCGCUAAUACCGCAUACGAGCUAUGGAUGAAAACGGGGGACAGUAAGGCCUCGCGCGAUUGGAGCGGCAGAUGUCAGAUUAGGUAGUUGGUGGGGUAAAGGCUCACCAAGCCAACGAUCUGUAGCUGGUCUGAGAGGACGACCAGCCACACUGGGACUGAGACACGGCCCAGACUCCUACGGGAGGCAGCAGUGGGGAAUUUUGGACAAUGGGCGCAAGCCUGAUCCAGCAAUGCCGCGUGCAGGAAGAAGGCCUUCGGGUUGUAAACUGCUUUUGUACGGAACGAAAAGGUUUGGGUUAAUACCCUGGGCCGAUGACGGUACCGUAAGAAUAAGCACCGGCUAACUACGUGCCAGCCGCCGCUGUAAGAC